ensembl:snoRNA SNORD115 Small nucleolar RNA SNORD115
GGGGCAAUGAUGAAACCUUUGCCCUAAUUCUAGAGAUGUGUUGUCUUAAAAGUCAUGCAAAAUAUAAUUAUGCUUACGACCC